UACGAAGGGGGCUAGCGUUGCUCGGAAUCGCUGGGCGUAAAGCGCACGUAGGCGGGUUCUUAAGUCAGGGGUGAAAUCCUGGAGCUCAACUCCAGAACUGCCUUUGAUACUGGGAAUCUCGAGUCCGGGAGAGGUGAGUGGAACUGCGAGUGUAGAGGUGAAAUUCGUAGAUAUUCGCAAGAACACCAGUGGCGAAGGCGGCUCACUGGCCCGGUACUGACGCUGAGGUGCGAAAGCCAGGGGAGCCAAAGCGGGAUUAAGAUGACCCUUGUAGUCCCCUAGGAACCAACGUCUC
rnacentral:rRNA from 1 species